GACGAACGCUGGCGGCGUGCCUAACACAUGCAAGUCGAGCGGGGAUUUAAGUGGAAGUUCGUCGGAAUGGAGAGUUAAAUUCUAGCGGCGGACGGGUGAGUAACGCGUGAACAAUCUGUCCCGGACAGGGGGAUAACACUUGGAAACAGGUGCUAAUACCGCAUAAGACCACGGCCUCGCAUGGGGCUGAGGUAAAAGGAGCAAUCCGGUUCGGGGUGAGUUCGCGUCCGAUUAGCUAGUUGGUGAGGUAACGGCCCACCAAGGCGACGAUCGGUAGCCGGCCUGAGAGGGUGAACGGCCACAUUGGAACUGAGAGACGGUCCAAACUCCUACGGGAGGCAGCAGUGGGGAAUAUUGGGCAAUGGGCGAAAGCCUGACCCAGCAACGCCGCGUGAGGGAAGAAGGUUUUCGGAUUGUAAACCUCUGUCCUAUGGGACGAAGGAAGUGACGGUACCAUAGGAGGAAGCCCCGGCUAACUACGUG
rnacentral:rRNA from 1 species